rnacentral:rRNA from 2 species
GUAUACGUAGGUGGCAAGCGUUGUCCGGAUUUAUNGGGCGUAAAGGGAACGCAGGCGGUCUUUUAAGUCUGAUGUGAAAGCCUUCGGCUUAACCGAAGUCGUGCAUUGGAAACUGGGAGACUUGAGUGCAGAAGAGGAGAGUGGAACUCCAUGUGUAGCGGUGAAAUGCGUAGAUAUAUGGAAGAACACCAGUGGCGAAAGCGGCUCUCUGGUCUGUAACUGACGCUGAGGUUCGAAAGCGUGGGUAGCAAACAGGAUUAGAUACCCUGGUAGUCCACGCUGUAAACGAUGAAUGCUAAGUGUUGGAGGGUUUCCGCCCUUCAGUGCUGCAGCUAACGCAUUAAGCAUUCCGCCUGGGGAGUACGACCGCAAGGUUGAAACUCAAAGGAAUUGACGGGGGCCCGCACAAGCGGUGGAGCAUGUGGUUUAAUUCGAAGCAACGCGAAGAACCUUACCAGGUCUUGACAUCUUUUGCUAACCUGAGAGAUCAGGCGUUCCCUUCGGGGACAAAAUGACAGGUGGUGCAUGGUUGUCGUCAGCUCGUGUCGUGAGAUGUUGGGUUAAGUCCCGCAACGAGCGCAACCCUUAUUACUAGUUGCCAGCAUUUAGUUGGGCACUCUAGUGAGACUGCCGGUGACAAACCGGAGGAAGGUGGGGAUGACGUCAAAUCAUCAUGCCCCUUAUGACCUGGGCUACACACGUGCUACAAUGGACGGUACAACGAGUCGCAAGACCGCGAGGUUUAGCUAAUCUCUUAAAACCGUUCUCAGUUCGGAUUGUAGGCUGCAACUCGCCUACAUGAAGUCGGAAUCGCUAGUAAUCGCGGAU